CUGAUUGGGUUUGACUUGGACGGCCUGGAAAAUUUCAGGUCCGGGAUGGGAAUGUAGGUGAAAGAAAUAAGUUCCUGGACCCGAUCCCUCUCACACAACCAAUUUUUCUUACCCUGUUCAUCUUUCCGAUCCGUCUUCUCUUCCCAACCUCUACAAACACAGAAGAAAAUCAUCUGGCAGGUUGAUUUAAUCUUCCACAGAUUCAAUUUUCUGGAACAUCUUUUCAUACAUUAACAGGUCCACCACCACCAGCAGAAUCUACACCUUCAUCUACUUCUCCUUAUCCAUUCAGUAUCUUCAUCUUCUUUUUGUUGAUUUCAGUUGAGCUUUAAGGAAUUUGCUAGGUUCACUUUUGGUGGUUGAAUGAGAGGCUGGGUUGUGAAGUAUAGGGAAUAGCUUUUAGAAAAAUGGUGCAGCAUCUCAAUACAGGCUUGGGUCAGUGCAUUUAAAAGUAUUCAUGAGACUUUGCUGUAAUCAAAUGAUUACCAAAUAUUAAUCCUGCUCCUAGCUAACACGGCACCAGACAGAAAAAAAAGAGGCUGACAAUGCAUCAACCAGAGCGAUGGCAUACUGUUACUGGGAAGGGCAUGUGUGCUCUCAUGUGGUAACUUCCCUUAUAGAUAUUUGGUUCUUCUAGAGACCUUAUCUAUUUUGUGAUUUGUUUUUGUAAUUUCAGCGAUGUGUAAGUUGUAUUAGAGAAGAGCGCAACUAUGGAUGAACUUCUGUCACGAUGGUUAGGUGGUCUACGUGGUGCUCUGAUCUGUGUGCAUUCAACUCCUUUAUCAGGACUUCUCAAUUCUAUCAGGACUUAUAUCUAUCUUAUCAGGUCUACUAUUAUGCAUUCAACGCCUUUUUGAUACAUGUGCUCUGCGUUGUCCUCUGAUUACUAGAUAGGCAAUCCGCCUGAUAUGUGUGAUCUACGUGGUUCUCUAAUCGGAUUAGUUAUCCAUAUGGUAGAGCUCUGAAAGAAGUGCUUUCGGUGUUUAUUAAUAUCCCAUUGACUGGUGAAUGUUGAAACAUGGGCAAUUCGCAAGUGUAAACUUUUGGUUCAUCUGUUUGUAAAUCUUAUUGAUGUUUUAUUAUUCUGCAAAGCGGUCAUAUUAAAUUCGCUAUUUCAUUUUUUCAAGUCAAGUCCAUUCCACAAAGUUAACGUUCCAUGGUGGUUAGCUGUAGGAAUUUCAGUUUCUCAUUGCGGAAUGCACAUGUACAUGUUGUGGUUUUGUAUGGUUAAUGCAAGUCAGGAUUGGUGUAGAUGAAGCUGUUUCACCUUUCCCUAGCUUUAUAAGGUGAAUUAAUGGGAAGAGCAGAUGUACCAUUUGAUUACAAUUGACUGGGUUAAUAUUCGUGCUCACAGAGCUUCCAGAAAGAUGAGUGGUAACCUGUGCACACUCUCAUCGCGAUAGUAGUAGUCAUGGACAUGGACUUCUUCAAUUCGGAUACAUUGAGUGUUUGUGUAACCUUCUUCAAUUUGUGCAUUUAAUUUUACUUUUGAGGUCUUUGUUGCUCUAUGGGAUAAAUAAGAUUGUUAGACCACAUCAGAAACUUUUGUCAAAGGUUUGGGUGCGUAUAGGUAAAUUACUAUUAUUUUUGGACAGGGAUUUGAAACUGAGAUCCUUUAACAAUUUUUGUUACCCAUAAUUGAGGCUACGACUUAUAAGACUGAAAAUUAAUGAAUGGAAUUUUAUGAUGGAUAUUCAGUUUGGUUAAGUAAUUCUCAUUAAAACAAGAACUCUGAUGCAAUUCCUGGCCUUUACAUUUCUUAACUAGCAUUAUUUUCAGCGGCGUUAAUUAUGGUUUUUGAUGUCGUCCAAUUCUUAUCAUUUUGAUGGCAGGACCAUCAAAUGGUAUUGGCGCUGAGACUGCACGCGUACUUGCAAUACAUGGAGUUCAAGUAGUUAUCGCAAAGUUCUGUUGUCGCUCCUUGAUUGCUGUCAAUGACAUUGGAGAUUCAAUCCGUGCAGUUGGUUAGUAAUUUAGAAUAGGCAUAGCUGAACAUAUUUUACAGUCGGUAAAUUUCUGAGGUGAGUAGUACAUUAUUCAUCUUCUUCUUGAAAUACUAUUCAGUUUAUCAAUUUGUUCACCAUUGAUUAUAAAACCAUGGUAAGUGACAAGAUAAAAAUAUUGCUCACAUUAGACAAACGAAGCAAUGUUGGACAAAAUGUCUACAAUUGUCACCUGACGAGUCCGAUUUGGGUUCAUCUCCUAAUUACUUUUUCUUCUGUAGUAAAGGUGGAUAAGGUGUAUUUUGAAUAGAUGUUAGUAUAUAUGAAAAAAAUCUUCUCUUAACCUAUAACCUAUAAUUAUACCUCCAUACCUAAUUUUGCACCGAUCUUUAGCCUGCAACAACAAUAUAUGUUUCACCUAUAAUUUGUUCUAAUGGGGGAAUUGAUCAAAUCUUUUCCGUGGAGGGUAAACUGGAGCAUACUUGAACAAAGCACAGUUCAUAUCCCUUUCCCAUUCAAAGAUAAAUAAAGUUUAUAAGACAGUUCAAAAUCAUUAAUUGCAAUAUUAUUGUCUUCUUAUUUACUUUUAUAAUUUUGUUCUAAAGAUUCUGAUUUGCUCUGUUUACACUUUCUGUAUGCAUUGGAAAUCCGCAAGGGGAAUCCAAAUACUACCUACAUUUAGGGAGUCGUUUAAUCUUUAUUCUCCCAUGGUCGUAGGAAUCAUCCUAGAUUCUUUGCCUUUGUCUUUAUGCUGCAGGAUGUCAUGCAUCAUCAGAUCAGGACCAUGUAGAUAGGUAUUAAUUAUGUCAGUUGAUUAUUUGGUUUUCAUUAACAUGGUUUCACUCGAAAAUGGUUCUUUGCUUUCACGUUUUUCCUUGACUAAUUGAUUUGGGCCAGUUGGCCCUAUACACAAUUCAUUCUUUAUGAUGUUUUUCAUGCGUACCUAUCAUAUUGGCGUGGGUAUGAUUCUCUAGAUAUAUAACCAUGCUAAUGUCAUCGUUCUUUGACAUGUUCUUUCAUCAAAGGACAUCAACUCUGUCUGCCACACGUAUAAAAAAACUUAAAAAUUGUUAAUGAUCUUCAAGUACGUGGACUUUGUAAGAAGCGUCUGCAGGCAUCAAACCAUUUCCAAUUAUUAUGCAUAUAUUUUGACUGACAAAAAGUUGCUUACGUUUGGCUUAUUUUAUAUUUAUGUAGUUUGGUACUAGAUCUGAAAGUCUAUAUUAAUGGCAGAAUGGUUGGAAAUGUAUGAAGCUAAUGGUUUGUGCAAACUAACUGUUAUGACCAAAGAGUGAGGGUAACAAACACGAGAACGAGAUAUAGGAUUUUCAUUCCUACCUAACUUUGAUGGAAGUUAUAUGUGCAUUUUUUAGAGGUAUGUCAACAUAUCCAUAUGCUUAUGUUUCACGACUAUAGUGUUAGCACCAUUUUUUUCUGAUUAGUACAGUAGUGGUUCGUCAGUUUGGUUGUACAUAAUAACAUGAAUUGUGAUGACUUAGAAUAGAAAACCCUCCCAUAUUUCAUAACUCCCCAUACUAUUGAUUGUCGUCUUAGCUCAGUUGGUAGAGCGCCUGGCAUUCUGCCACGAGGGUGUGGGUUCGAUUCUCACAGACGAAAAUAUUGGGGCAAUGAUGACCAGUAGAUGGAAUCAUCAAGAAAAUAAGUAAGGGAGAAUGAUGAUUUAGGAUUACAAUGGGGUUUUUUAGAGUAAUGGGUUCUCGAUAAAGUAGAAUGUUGUUGUAGCACUUGAUUAGUCACAGUGUGGCCUGUUGAUGAAAAAUAGGACUUAAGAGUGUAGGGUGGAAAGUGUACUGGAAUGGGUGACAUGGUGAUUUGGGUACCGGGAAGUUUGUUAAUAAUCUUGCAGUGAUUAUAGGCAGAAAUUGUUAAUUUUGUUGUUUGGAAAACAGAAAAUGGAAGCAAAUAAAUUGGAUUGGUUAAGAAAAGUAGGGAAACAGCCUUUCAGAUUUGGAUAUAAUGCGCAUUAUACGACUAAAAAUUUAUAAAAAAUGUGCAACUGGCACCGCAUUGGGAAAAAUAAGGGGAAAUUUUGUAAGAAAGUCUAAUUAGACUAUUCAUAUUUACCCAAGAAAACAUGCGAUUCGUCCAAGGUCUGAAUGGUUCUCUGCCAGAAAGGUUGGUUUUUGUUUUCAUUAGGGUUUGCCUUUUUUCUUAAUUUUCCUAUUUAAAUUUAGGGGAUUUUCUUGGGGGAUUGAUUGGAACUGGACUUGAGUUGAUUAUACUGGAAAUGCAUCUUCCAAAUCUUUUUCUACCAUGAUUAGAAAGAAAAUUUUGCCUAAGUACAACUCUUUGUGGUUAUGAUAAAACUCAACAAUGAGCAUCCAAGCAUCUAUUCUGAACAUGAGUUGUUAUUCAUCUUUUACGUUUUUUGGGUCCAACAUUUUAUUUUAUUUGACAGUUUAAACAGCAGUGCAGCUCAUGAAUGCAGAAUGGAGACUCAGUCCGUUUCUUGAUGAGAUGGGCAGGUAAUUAAUCGUUGAUGAAGGCUUCCUGAUAACUAUUACCUCUAUUUUGGCAUUCAGUUUUUGGUUGAUUCAGGGUUAUGCUGAAUUAGCUAUGUUGUUCGAUGAUCUAUGAAUAUUGUGUUUUUAAUUUCAGUUUUCUUGAGUCUGAUUAAUUUGAAUUUAUGAUUUUUGAAUUAAGUCUUGGACGAGGUGCUCAUGGAAUUAGUUUAAUCUCACAAAACUGAAACUCAAGGCUGUCAUGAAUGGUGCUACUUCUCUUUCUCCUGAUCUAAUUUCUGCCUUUGAAGCCAAAUUUGAAAUUUCAUGAUGUACAAGUCAAAGAGGUACUUUGGCGAGGAUUCUAAACUGGGAUUGGUCUCCAGAUAAUCAUUCUUUUAGUCAUGUUCUGUUGACAGCUAGGACAAAGAGGUGCAAUUAUCAAAAGAGAGUCAAGUGAUGCAGG